rnacentral:tRNA from 6 species
GUCUCAGUAGCUCAGCUGGAUAGAGCGACAGCCUCCUAAGCUGUAGGUCGUGAGUUCGAAUCUCGCCUGGGACG